rnacentral:siRNA from 1 species
AGGUCGCGAUUCUUCCCCAACGGC